GUGCCAGCAGCCGCGGUAAGACGAACCGUCCAAACGUUGUUCGGAAUCACUGGGCUUAAAGGGCGCGUAGGCGGUCGGCCAAGUCCGGGGUGAAAUCUUUCGGCCCAACCGGAAAACAGCUUUGGAUACUGGCUGACUUGAGGGAGGUAGGGGCAUGUGGAACUCUCGGUGGAACGGUGAAAUGUGUUGAUAUCGGGAGGAACACCGGUGGCGAAAGCGACGUGCUGGACCUCUUCUGACGCUGAGGCGCGAAAGCCAGGGGAGCAAACGGGAUUAGAUACCCCGGUAGUCCUGGCCCUAAACGAUGGGUACUGGGUAGUGGACUUGACAUGGGUUCACUGCCGAAGCAAAAGUGCUAAGUACCCCGCCUGGGGAGUAUGGUCGCAAGGCUGAA
rnacentral:rRNA from 1 species